CGCUCAGUGUAGCACAGAGGAGGUGAACAGGCAAACAGAGUGGAGGAGACAGAAACUUGAAGCAUGAGGAGAAAGGAAGUGUAGCAGUGGUUGUAACAAAUGUUGAGGCUGACAGUGAGAAGGUUGAGGAAGACGAGGGUAAUGAAGACGAGGCAGAGGAAACCAGUCUCAGAAGCAGCACGGCUGACGGCUCUGACAAAAAACCAAGGCUCAGGAUUCACACUAAAUCUUCUGCCACCGAGAAUAUGGACUGAGGUCAUGCUAAAUCCAGUGCCUCCAGCUGUAUCCCUGCCUUUGACCUUUCCUCCCCCCAUGAUAAAUCCAGCAUCACUAAUUUAGGUGUGAAAAUGGACCCCAGCCUAAAACUCGACUCACAUGUCAAAGCUGUGGUUAAGUCCUCCAUCUUUCAGUUGAGGCAGCUGUCAAAAAUUAAGUCCAUCCUGUCUAGAGGCCACCCAGAAACACAGAUUCAUGCAUUUAUCACCUCUCAUCUGGAUUAUUGUAAUUCUCUUUUUUAUUUUUCUGAGAUAUUUCACCCUUAAAUGCUGUCACGUGCUUGUAGUUCAGCUAACCAGGUGCUUUUGACUCUCCCAAAGACAUUUUAUAAAUCCAGAGGAGCCUUUGAAGUUUUCCUAAAAUGUUGAAUGAGCUGCUGCUGGAGACAGGCUCCAUCUCCUGCUGUUUUUAAAUGUCUUAAACUUUUACUCUUUGUACGUACUUAUUUAUUCUUGAUCUCUUAUUUUUUUUUAUUUUCUUUUUGUACAGCAUGUUGGUGCUUUAGAAAUAAAUUUAAAAUGUUGUUCCAUGAAAUGUGUUUUAAAAGUGUUCAUGCUUCUUUAAUGAUGUGACAGGAAAUUUUAGUACAGCAUAUCAGGAGUUUAAUGAAUUUAGAUACACUGGUGUGAUCAUUGUAAUGGUGUCUUGGUCAAACAUAGUAAUUAAUCUUUUUUAUUUAUAAGGCCUUGGAGAGUUUCAGUGAACUGCAGGA